rnacentral:snoRNA from 1 species
CACUCCUGUUUCUGCCUCAUGGUCUUUUCGCUUCCAUAGAUCAUCGAGUUCUGGUUAUGGAGAAGAAAAAGCUGGAGAAUGGUGUUCCCACGCCUUUGAUACACAGUGGGUUUCAUUUCAUCCUCCAGAUCGUGAGAACACAUCAAACGACUCGUCCCACUUUUAUUUCAAUAGUUCGACGAGACUUGGUGUCUCUCUAUAUUC